GUCUUCACACCUUCCCCACGCAGCUCACCACCGUCUUCACACCUUCCCCACACAGCUCACCGUCUUCACACCUUCCCCACACAGCUCACCUGUCUUCACACCUUCCCCGCACAGUUCACCACCGUCUUCACACCUUCCCCACACAGUUCACCGUCUUCACACCUUCCCCACGCAGCUCACCACCGUCUUCACCCCUUCCCCGCGCAGUUCACCACCGUCUUCACACCUUCCCCACGCAGUUCACCACCGUCUUCACACCUUCCCCACACAGCUCACUGUCUUCACACCUUCCCCGCACAGUUCACCGUCUUCACACCUUCCCCACACAGUUCACCACCGUCUUCACACCUUCCCCGCACAGUUCACCACCGUCUUCACACCUUUGUACUGAGAGGGCCCUUCAUUCCUGCCCUUCUAGCAAACUCUUAGUGCUGUAGUACUCACGUCUUCCAGAAAGUGUCCCCAGAUGCUCCCAGGCUGGGCUCCCCCCAUAUCUGGGCCCCCUGAGCUGACCCUGCCCCACCCAUUAAACCCCUC
rnacentral:lncRNA from 1 species